rnacentral:sRNA from 1 species
ACACAGUUACUGUGACUUUUGUCAUGUCAACCUCUGCAAGCCCUGUAUACUAGAUCACAUCUUAGAUGGAUAUGACAAACAUAAAAUUGGGCCUUUCCAUGAACGAAGAUCAACCUUCUUUUAUGCGAAAUGUAGAACACAUUCAAACAAACAUUGUGCAUUACAUUGUAAAGAUUGCAGGUCUUUUGUUUGUUCUUCUUGCAUGGCAUCUGAACAACACAUUGGGCAUAGGUUUGUAGAAGUUAAACAUGAAUAUGAGACAAAGAAAGAAAUCAUCAAAAAGGAUAAAGUAGAACUAGGAAACUCUAUUUCUCCUAAAUAUGAAGAAAUUGCACUCGAAGUGGAAAAUCAGCUUGCCAACCUGGAUGAAGGAUACGAAAAACGUAGAACAGAAAUAUCAAAACAAGGAGAAGAAUGGCUCAGAGAAAUCAACAUCGUUAUUAACAAGAUGAAAACUGAAAUCAAUGAAAAAAAAUUGAAACACGGAAGCAUUUUGCAGAAACACUUGAGUGAAAUCAAACAUAUGCAAUCUCUUAUUCAGGAAACUUUAAUAGUUUUAGGGGAACUCGAGAAGUCUACUGAAAUGAUUACAGCUAUAGAAUACAUAUCUAAAAUAAAAACAUUCAGCAAGCUUCCACCCAGGGUAAAUGUAUUGCUGCCAACAUUCAUUCCUAAACCAAUUGACCAUGAGCAUUUAUAUAAUUUCUUUGGACAGAUCAUACCAUUAUGUAAUGCCAUGCAAGAACAUGUACUGUCAAUAAACCAACCAAAGACUUCAGUCAGAGAGCUGCUGGAGAAAGCUGAACCUGUUGCCACAAUACAGACUGGGUAUUAUAAACUAUACAGUGUAACCUGUUUAAAUGAAGAAAUAUUCUAGACCUGUGGUGGAGUGAGUAGCGAUAUCAAAUGCUUUGAUGUAAAAGGUAAUCUCCUCCGUACGAUUAAAACAAAAUCAGAGGUGAACCCAAAUGAUAUAGCUGUUGACGGUGAUGGGGAUCUACUGUACUCUGACUGGGGAACAAAGACAGUGAACAAAGUAAAGAAUGGACAGACAGAAGAGUUGAUAAGAUUACACGGAUGGAAACCUAGUAGACUGUGUGUCGCCUCUGCAGGUGAUCUUCUUGUUACCAUGUACAGUGAUGAUAAAACUCAAUCCAAAGUUGUCCGUUACUCUGGAUUGAAAGAAAAACAAACGAUUCAAUUUGACAAUUUGAUGAUGAAGGUAAACCUCUGUACUCAGGUAAUGGCUCUAUGAAAUAUAUCACCGAAAAUAGAAACAAUGAUAUUUGCGUUGCUGAUAAUGCGGCUGGUGCAGUAGUGGUGGUUAAUGAGGCUGGAAAACUAAGAUGGAGAUACACCGGUCAGCGCUCACCUACCAAGAACAAACAUUUCAAACCCCAGGGAAUCACUACAGACAGUCAGAGUCGUAUCCUUACAGCAGACGAUGACAACCAUUGUAUCCACAUUCUAGAUCAAGAUGGACAGUAUCUCUGUUACAUUGAUAAGUGUGAUUUAAGCAAUCCUUUAGGCUUAUGUGUGGACAAUAAUGAUAACCUUUUUGUUUGUGAUUACGCGAACGGCAAUGACAGAAAAAUCAAGUAUUCCAAAGACAUUUAACAUUUGUGUUAUAAUAGUCUAAAUGUGACACCCCCCCCCCCCCUUGAUUAUUGACAUGAUAUUCAAACAUGUACGUGUACGUGUAAUUCAUUUACAUUUUGUAUGAUAUUAUUGGUUGAUUAAACUUUAGACUGCU